AAUACCGCANACGCCCNAAGGGGGAAAGCGGGGGAUCUUCGGACCUCGUGCUAUUAGAUGAGCCUGCGUGAGAUUAGCUAGUUGGUGAGGUAAAGGCUCACCAAGGCGACGAUCUCUAGCUGGUCUGAGAGGAUGAUCCGCCACACUGGGACUGAGACACGGCCCAGACUCCUACGGGAGGCAGCAGUGGGGAAUAUUGGACAAUGGGGGGAACCCUGAUCCAGCCAUGCCGCGUGUGUGAAGAAGGCCUUAUGGUUGUAAAGCACUUUAAGCGAGGAGGAGGCUACUAGUAUUAAUACUACUGGAUAGUGGACGUUACUCGCAGAAUAAGCACCGGCUAACUCUGUGCCAGCAGCCGCGGUAAUACAGAGGGUGCGAGCGUUAAUCGGAUUUACUGGGCGUAAAGCGUGCGUAGGCGGCCAUUUA
rnacentral:rRNA from 1 species